rnacentral:rRNA from 1 species
UACAUCCUACGGGAGGCAGCAGUGGGGAAUAUUGGACAAUGGGCGCAAGCCUGAUCCAGCCAUGCCGCGUGAGUGAUGAAGGCCCUAGGGUUGUAAAGCUCUUUCACCGGUGAAGAUAAUGACGGUAACCGGAGAAGAAGCCCCGGCUAACUUCGUGCCAGCAGCCGCGGUAAUACGAAGGGGGCUAGCGUUGUUCGGAUUUACUGGGCGUAAAGCGCACGUAGGCGGACUAUUAAGUCAGGGGUGAAAUCCCGGGGCUCAACCCCGGAACUGCCUUUGAUACUGGUAGUCGUGAGUUCGAGAGAGGUGAGUGGAAUUCCGAGUGUAGAGGUGAAAUUCGUAGAUAUUCGGAGGAACACCAGUGGCGAAGGCGGCUCACUGGCGCGAUACUGACGCUGAGGUGCGAAAGCGUGGGGAGCAAACAGGAUUAGAAACCCUUGUAGUCCCAUG